rnacentral:tRNA from 1 species
GUGAUCGUCGUCUAACGGCAGGACAUCAGAUUGUGGAUCUGAGUAUACGGGUUCGAUUCCCCUCGAUCACC